CACACACACACACACAGCAAGAGAAGUGCCGGGGCACCCAGCGCGUCUGUGUCUACGUCCGUGUGCGCAUCUCCCCUCGCUGCCACUUUUGUUGUCUUCUCCCCGGCACCGCUCAACCGGCCCCUUCUCUCCUGUCGCCCAGCCUUCAACUCCAUAUUGCAUCACGCAGUCACAGACGCACUUGUGCACACGCGCACAAUCACCGGACAGAGCUGUGCGUGAUGCUCCGCCGCUCAUCGUUAUGGCUUAGCAAGAGGACGCCCGGGUAUGUCUUUUGGCGUCAGAGUAGCUUGACGGAGUUGGAGCACUCGAAGCGCAACUACCUUCUCUCGGAGCGUCCGGUACCGCUGGGCGAGAUUUCGCGGCGGAUGGCUCGCGCCAAGUCCCGCUACGAGGACACGCGCGACUUCCAUGAGCGCAACCUGCUUCGCGGUGAGUACAAGUACUUCACGGGCAAGCUCUGCGACUUGCGUGCCGCCCGUCUCGGUGAUAUGGUGGUGGUGCUGCAAUGUGCCGCUUUCUUCGGCUUCUGGGAUGCUGCGCAGGUCGACCAAAUUCUGGGGGAGCUCUUCCUGCAGCUGGAGGGGAUGGAGGCAGUAGAGCUCGUCGCACUUUUCGCCUGUAUGCCGCAGCUGCGCCGCCAAGAGAGCGAGCUGUAUCGCCGCGUGGCUAUGGAGCUCGUCCCCCUCGUGCCAGACCUGACAACCGAGGAAUGCCUGGCGGUGUGUCGCGCCUGUACCGCCGAGACCCCACCGGAGCUGAUGGAGUCGGUGCUGCGUGACCUCACCCAGCGCCUGGAGGAGAUUAGCCCUGCCCAGUGCGUGGAGGUGCUGGACACAUGGAGCGUCUUGCCAGCGGCCGCGCAGCGCCGCGUUCGUGACGUCAUGGAGCCUGUUCGGCAGCGCGCGCUGCGUCACCUCGAGGAGCUGGAGUGCAUGGAUAUAGCAGUCUUGUUCACAUGCCUUCGAGGAGCGGUGAGUGUGGGCAGGGCAGAUCCGAUUUUGUCGGAGGCGUUGCAGCGGCGCAUGCUGAGAGCAUUUGUGCGCGACAUAUCCAGCACGUGCCCCCGCUCCACAGCGAUGCUCUUCUCAGCAGUCCGCGGCAGUCACUCGCUUGCACUGGAGCUGGCGCAGCAGAUGGCGGAUCGCGCGCUGUUUCUGUCCACAGACUUCACGCCUGCCGAGCUGCUGGCAGUCUUUCGUGUCUACCUGGAGGGCUUGGCGUCCCUUUCUGCCUUGUCUGCAGAGCUGCGAGCGCCGCGAACGCCGGCGCUCCCAGCCGGUACGGCGUCAUGGGUAGAUGUCACCGCCGCGCUGCACGGCUCUCUCUCCAGCGCUUCUCUUUUGACUUCUCCUUCCCUGUCGUCGCCGCCCGCUGCACGCCAGCGCAUACUGGAGAUGGAGCAAGCCGCACAAAGUCUCUCCACGUUGCAGCGUGUCGGGGACGCGCUGUCGGCUCAGCUCGUCGAGAUGCUCGACAGCGCGUCUGCCUACCUGUCUGUGGCGUCCCAGCUUGAGGUUGUGGCGCUCUACGUGGAUGCCGUGGAACAGCUGGCAAUGGGCGGCAUCAUGGACGGCGGUGACACGUGCGGUGGGCCAGGAAGGGAUGCCACCGCGCAUCUGCUGCAGCUACUACCCCAGUCACGACGGGCGUUGCAGCUCGUGUCGAGCAAACUGAUUGCCAACAUGAAGACCCUCUCCCUGGCCGAACUGCUUCAGCUCCUCGAACAGGCGAACACUCUGGGCAGUGCCGCUAUUCAAGAUGCCGCCGUCGCGGCUGCUGUGCAGGAGCUGAUCACGCGCGACAUCGAUGGCCUCACAACCGAGUCGGCAUUGGCGCUGGAGCAGAGGCUGAGGGCCCUCACUGAGCUCAGAGCAGAGCAUCAGCGCCGCUUGUCGACUGCGCUCAUCCCGAAAGUGCGCCGCUUAGUUUAGUGUGCGCAUGGCGGUGUGUUGUUUUCGCUUUGCUCUUUCGGAGGAAGAGGCGCUGGAGAGGGGUAUGCGCGGUGCUGGCCCGCCGGCCGCAUAGCCGACGCUGACGUACACGUACCCACGUGCGUCUGGAAGACGUUUACACCGCUGUCCACCGCCCUCUUGGAUUUGUAUGCCCACUCAUGUGUGGGGUGUGCGGGCUCGUUCCGUCGCGGGUCACUUCCUCCGUCAUUCCCUCCCUCCGUCUGUGUUUGUGUGACUCGUUCACCUCCCUCCUCCCCGACGCCGCUGCACCGACAGACGUCGGCGGGGGUUCCUCGUCACAUCCCUAGAGUUCCGCCUGUGCGUCUGAGCCCGACCCCCUGCUGCGCCCUCCAACAUUCUUCUCACGUUCUCACUCACACGCAUACU
rnacentral:misc_RNA from 1 species